AUUGAACGCUGGCGGCAUGCCUUACACAUGCAAGUCGAACGGCAGCACGGGUGCUUGCACCUGGUGGCGAGUGGCGAACGGGUGAGUAAUACAUCGGAACAUGUCCUGUAGUGGGGGAUAGCCCGGCGAAAGCCGGAUUAAUACCGCAUACGAUCUACGGAUGAAAGCGGGGGACCUUCGGGCCUCGCGCUAUAGGGUUGGCCGAUGGCUGAUUAGCUAGUUGGGGGGGUAAAGGCCUACCAAGGCGACGAUCAGUAGCUGGUCUGAGAGGACGACCAGCCACACGGGGACUGAGACACGGCCCAGACUCCUACGGGAGGCAGCAGUGGGGAAUUUUGGACAAUGGGCGAAAGCCUGAUCCAGCAAUGCCGCGUGUGUGAAGAAGGCCUUCGGGUUGUAAAGCACUUUUGUCCGGAAAGAAAUCCUUGGCCCUAAUACGGUCGGGGGAUGACGGUACCGGAAGAAUAAGCACCGGCUAACUACGUG
rnacentral:rRNA from 1 species